GUGGGGAAUUUUGGACAAUGGGCGCAAGCCUGAUCCAGCAAUGCCGCGUGCAGGAUGAAGGCCUUCGGGUUGUAAACUGCUUUUGUACGGAACGAAAAGCCCUGGGUUAAUACCCUGGGGUCAUGACGGUACCGUAAGAAUAAGCACCGGCUAACUACGUGCCAGCAGCCGCGGUAAUACGGAGGGUGCGAGCGUUAAUCGGAAUUACUGGGCGUAAAGCGUGCGCAGGCGGUUUUGUAAGACAGAGGUGAAAUCCCCGGGCUCAACCUGGGAACUGCCUUUGUGACUGCAAGGCUAGAGUACGGCAGAGGGGGAUGGAAUUCCGCGUGUAGCAGUGAAAUGCGUAGAUAUGCGGAGGAACACCGAUGGCGAAGGCAAUCCCCUGGGCCUGUACUGACGCUCAUGCACGAAAGCGUGGGGAGCAAACAGGAUUAGAUACCCUGGUAGUCC
rnacentral:rRNA from 1 species